UCUGGGUCAAAUGGAAUUUCUAUUUCUAGGUCCUUGAGGAAUUGCCACACUGUCAUCCACAAUGGUUGAACUAAUGUAUACUCCCAGCAACAGUGUAAAAGUGUUCCUAUUUCUCCACAUCCUUUCCAGCAUCUAUUGUCUCCACACUGUUUAAUGAUCGGCAUUCUAACUGGUGUGAGAUGGUAUCUCAGUGUGGUUUUGAUUUGCAUUUCUCUAAUGACCAGUGAUGGUGAGCAUUUUUUCAUAUGUUUGUUGGCCUCAAAAAGUGUCUGUUCAUAGCCUUUGCCCACUUUUGAAUGGGUUUGCUUGUCUUUUUCUUGUAAAUCUGUUUUAGUUCUUUGUAGAUUCUGGAUAUUAGCCCUUUGUCAGUUGGGUAGAUUGCAAAAAUGUUUUCCCAUUCUGUUGGUUGCUGGUUCACUCUAAUGAUUGUUUCUUUUGCUGUACAGAAGCUCUGGAGUUUAAUUAGAUCCCACUUGCCUAUUUUGGCUUUUGUUACCAUUGCUUUUGGUGUUUUAGUCAUGAAGUCCUUGCCUAUGCAUAUGUCCUGAAUGGUUUUGCCUACGUUUUCUUCUAGGGUUUUUAUGAUGUUAGGUCUUAUGUUUAAGUCUUUAAUCCAUCUAGAGUUAAUUUUAGUGUAAGGUGUCAGGAAAGGGUUCAGUUUCUGCUUUCUAUGCAUUGCUAGCCAGUUUUCCCAACACCAUUUAUUAAACAAGGAAUCCUUUCCCCAUUGCUUGUUUUUGUCAGGUUUGUAAAAGAUCAGAUUAUUGUAGAUGUGUGGUGUUGCUUCUGAGGCCUCUGUUCUGUUCCAUUGGUCUAUGUCUUUGUUUUGGUACCAGUACCAUGCUGUUUUGAUUACUGUAGCCUUGUAGUAUAAUUUGAAGUGUGCCAGUGUGAUGCCUCUGGCUUUGUUCUUUUUUUGCUUAGGAUUGUUUUGGCUAUGCGGGCUUGCUACAAAGAAAAUAAAAUGCCUAUGAAUACAACUAACAAAGGAUAUAAAGGAUCUCUUCAAGGAGAACUACAAACCACUGCUCAAGGAAAUAAGAGAGGACACAAACAGAUUGAAAAACAUUCCAUGCUCAUGAUUGGGAAGAAUCAAUAUUGUGAAGAUAGCCAUACUGCCCAAAUGGCAACAUUACAGAUGUGGAUGUUUGUGAAGCUGUGUCCUGAAGAGAAGUUAAUAUGAAGCUGAAACCUCAGCUGCCCAACCAAGACAGAGCUGGAGCACGAGUUGGAAACAAAACUUGGAGUUUUAAGCCAUGGCACAGCCUAUUCUUAUUCACACGUAUAUUUCAUUAAACUCUUUUACUAAAGAAGCCUUGCUUUUACUGUUGCCCUUCAUAAGCAAGUUUAUAGAGUCAGAGGUUAAUGAUAUGCCUAAAGUCACACAACUAGCAAGCAGUAGAAUCCAGAUUUGU
rnacentral:lncRNA from 1 species